AACGAACGCUGGCGGCAGGCCUAACACAUGCAAGUCGAGCGAGCAUUUCGGUGCUAGCGGCGGACGGGUGAGUAACGCGUGGGAACGUGCCCUUUUCUGCGGAAUAGUCCUGGGAAACUGGGGGUAAUACCGCAUACGCCCUUUUGGGGAAAGAUUUAUCGGGGAAGGAUCGGCCCGCGUUGGAUUAGGUAGUUGGUGGGGUAAUGGCCCACCAAGCCGACGAUCCAUAGCUGGUUUGAGAGGAUGAUCAGCCACACUGGGACUGAGACACGGCCCAGACUCCUACGGGAGGCAGCAGUGGGGAAUCUUAGACAAUGGGGGCAACCCUGAUCUAGCCAUGCCGCGUGAGUGAUGAAGGCCUUAGGGUUGUAAAGCUCUUUCAGCUGGGAAGAUAGUGACGGUACCAGCAGAAGAAGCCCCGGCUAACUCCGUG
rnacentral:rRNA from 1 species